rnacentral:tRNA from 1 species
GUCCCUGUAGCGCAAUGGAUAGUGUGUUGGAUUUCUAAUCCAAAGGUCGUGGGUUCGAAUCCCACCUGGGAUG